UUAAUAAACUUAUCCUCCACUGAUGCCUUAUAUUUCCUUUUUGCCCUCCUAAUUUCUCUUUUUGGAUAUUCAACAGAAGAU